AUGACUCCCCCAUGCGAGCCCAACGCCGCUGCCCGCCUGUGCUGCCCCCACACUUGCCACCGAUGGGGUGGCUGCGCGCGUGCUGCCACCAUCUCCUCCGCCACCAUAAGCCCCAGUCCGGCGCACUUCCCCGCCCAUGUAGGUACUCUUUCAUCGGCCGUGGUGGUCGCUGCCGCCGCGCUCCAUCUACUGGGCCUGAUCCGGACGUCGGCAGAAGCUGCUCCGGCCUCCAAGCCUCCACAGGAGGAGGAGGAAGAAGGCCUAGAUUGGAGUACCUCUACAUACAAGUUACAAUGGGCCUGA
rnacentral:rRNA from 1 species